rnacentral:rRNA from 1 species
UACGGGGGGGGCAAGCGUUGUUCGGAAUUACUGGGCGUAAAGGGCGCGUAGGCGGUUCGCUAAGUUGAAUGUGAAAACUCUGGGCUUAACCCAGAGCCUGCAUUCAAUACUGGCGGGCUAGAGUUCUGGAGGGGAUAGCGGAAUUCCUGGUGUAGCGGUGAAAUGCGUAGAUAUCAGGAGGAACACCGGUGGCGAAGGCGGCUAUCUGGACAGUUCCUGACGCUGAGGCACGAAGGUCAGGGGAGCAAACGGG